CCGAGUGAGGGUUCCUUGCGAGCCCAACCUCCCACCCGUGUUUAACUAUACCGUGUUGCUUCGGCGGGCCCACUGGGGCCCGUUCCUGGUCGCCUGGGGGCGUGAAACCCCCCGGGCCCGUGCCCGCCGGAGACCCCUUGAACCCUGAGUGAAUCGAGUGUCGUCUGAGUUUGAGUUAAAUCAUUA
rnacentral:misc_RNA from 1 species